AGUACAAUGUAUUUGUGUUUAUCUUUCUCUAGACUCAGCAGAAAUGAACUGGUCACAUGCUAAAAUGAUCAUUUCACUUUUUAAGGGAAGUUUAAGAAACAGUAGAGUGACUUAUCUAAAGUGAUUCACUUACUGACAGCAGAGCAGCCCAGAAAGCCAGGUAUCCUGACUCUCAGUAUGGAACACCAAACUGAACAACUAUUCACAUAAGAAAGCACCUUCAUAAGACCCAAAAAUCAGCAACAGGCCGGAGGGGCCAAGACGGCUGACCAGAAAUAUCUGCAGUUGGAAGCUCCCACAGAGAAGAAUGAAAACGGUGAGUGAAUCCUGCACUGGCAACUGAGGUAUCCAGGUUCUCUUAUUGGGACUGACUAGGCAGUUGGCAUGUGCCAUGGAGAGCAAGGAAAAAGCAGGGUGGAGCCAUGGCCCACUCAGGAGCCACAUGGGGCAAGGGGAGUUCCCACCCCCAGCCAAGGGAGGUGGUAGUGAGUGAUUGUGUUACCCUGCCCAAGAAGCCAUGCUUUUUCCAUGGAUCUGUGCAACCCACAGAUCAGGAGAUCCCCCUUGUGGGCCCACAAACACCACCAGGGUUUCGGUCCCAAGCACAGAGCUGUGCAGAUUCUCGGCGGCCUCUUGGCUGGAAAUUGCCCAAGACUACCGAGUUCCCAGGGGGAGGGGUGGCCAUCAUGACUGUGGCUGCCUCCUGCCUAAGAUGACUGAGCUCCUGGGAAGAGAG